rnacentral:rRNA from 1 species
UACAGAGGAUGCAAGCGUUAUCCGGAAUGAUUGGGCGUAAAGCGUCUGUAGGUGGCUUUUUAAGUCCGCCGUCAAAUCCCAGGGCUCAACUCUGGACAGGCGGUGGAAACUACCAAGCUGGAGUACGGUAGGGGCAGAGGGAAUUUCCGGUGGAGCGGUGAAAUGCGUAGAUAUCGGGAGGAACAUCAGUGGCGAAGGCGGCUGCCUGGCCCAAUACUGACACUCAGGUGCGACAGCGUGGGGAGCAAACAGG